AUGAACGCUAGCUACAGGCUUAACACAUGCAAGUCGAGGGGCAGCAUGGUCUUAGCUUGCUAAGGCCGAUGGCGACCGGCGCACGGGUGAGUAACGCGUAUCCAACCUGCCUUACACUCUUGGACAGCCUUCUGAAAGGGAGAUUAAUACAAGAUGUUAUCAUGAGUAAGCAUUUUCGCAUGAUUAAAGGUUUACCGGUGUAAGAUGGGGAUGCGUUCCAUUAGAUAGUAGGCGGGGUAACGGCCCACCUAGUCUUCGAUGGAUAGGGGUUCUGAGAGGAAGGUCCCCCACAUUGGAACUGAGACACGGUCCAAACUCCUACGGGAGGCAGCAGUGAGGAAUAUUGGUCAAUGGACGAGAGUCUGAACCAGCCAAGUAGCGUGAAGGAUGAAGGUUUUAUGGAUUGUAAACUUCUUUUAUACGGGAAUAAACGAAUCCACGUGUGGAUUUUUGCAUGUACCGUAUGAAUAAGGAUCGGCUAACUCCGUGCCAGCAGCCGCGGUAAUACGGAGGAUCCGAGCGUUAUCCGGAUUUAUUGGGUUUAAAGGGAGCGUAGAUGGGUUGUUAAGUCAGUUGUGAAAGUUUGCGGCUCAACCGUAAAAUUGCAAUUGAUACUGGCAGUCUUGAGUACAGUUGAGGUAGGCGGAAUUCGUGGUGUAGCGGUGAAAUGCUUAGAUAUCACGAAGAACUCCGAUUGCGAAGGCAGCUUACUAACCUGUAACUGACAUUGAUGCUCGAAAGUGUGGGUAUCAAACAGGAUUAGAUACCCUGGUAGUCCACACGGUAAACGAUGAAUACUCGCUGUAGGCGAUAUACAGUCUGCGGCCAAGCGAAAGCAUUAAGUAUUCCACCUGGGGAGUACGCCGGCAACGGUGAAACUCAAAGGAAUUGACGGGGGCCCGCACAAGCGGAGGAACAUGUGGUUUAAUUCGAUGAUACGCGAGGAACCUUACCCGGGCUUAAAUUGCAACCGAAUAUGGCGGAAACGCUAUAGCUAGCAAUAGCGGUUGUGAAGGUGCUGCAUGGUUGUCGUCAGCUCGUGCCGUGAGGUGUCGGCUUAAGUGCCAUAACGAGCGCAACCCUUGCCGAUAGUUACUAACAGGUUAUGCUGAGGACUCUGUCGGGACUGCCAUCGUAAGAUGUGAGGAAGGUGGGGAUGACGUCAAAUCAGCACGGCCCUUACGUCCGGGGCUACACACGUGUUACAAUGGGGGGUACAGAGGGCUGCUACCACGCAAGUGGAUGCCAAUCCCAAAAACCUCUCUCAGUUCGGAUUGAAGUCUGCAACCCGACUUCAUGAAGCUGGAUUCGCUAGUAAUCGCGCAUCAGCCACGGCGCGGUGAAUACGUUCCCGGGCCUUGUACACACCGCCCGUCAAGCCAUGGGAGCCGGGGGUACCUGAAGUGCGUAACCGCAAGGAGCGCCCUAGGGUAAAACUGGUGACUGGGGCU
rnacentral:rRNA from 1 species